AAACGACCCUCUUCAACCAAACAGCCCUAACCAAAUGACCGCCGGUUCCAUCGACGGACCAGCGUACACAAGCCGUCCUCGACGCCACAGCCGUCACGUCCCUUCAGUCCUCUCAGCCUCUUUACGAGAUUAUAGAACCAUUAAUGCUCUGCAAACUAGCUUGUUCAACUUCCAAAGAGGGCAAACGUGAGAAUCUUGCGAAUACAAGGACGAUUGAAUGGAUAAAAAGACCUCACCCUACCUUCAGAGCUCGGUUUGCUGAAAAAUCUUUCGGAUUUUCAGUUUCAACAGUCUCAAUCUUUCAAAUCAUCUCUGAAAAAGUUCUCGGCUGAGCAAGGACUGUUUGGAGCGGAUUCGGAGACUCGACGAUGACAUUAGCCCCAGUUCGCUGUCCUAAAGAAGGUAAACAUACUCGUCUUCUCUUCAUCUUUAAUUUUACAGAAGUGGAAAUGUAGUCGUUUAAUAGUUCUUGUCAUUCGCUUGGAUUUCUGCCUGCUUAAAUCUCCUCGCUGCUCUGUUUUGUUCUAGUCUUAGAUAAAAUAGUUAAUAAGGAUUAAUUGCACUCAGAAAUGUUAAUUACCUAGUCGACUACAUGAGCAUUGAUAUUCAUUUUGUUUCGAGGGGUUGUUUGCAUCAUUAUUAAAGGAUUGUUGUUACCAUAAUAUUACCACGAAUCAGUAGAUAUUAAUUUAGGUCGGAUUGGAUAAAUCUACUUAAUUCUCCGAGCAUAUUGUGAGCUUGAACUUUGUGCUUACUGGUUUUCGCAAGCCUUGUGGCUUAAGUUCCGUGUCUCAAAAGUAGUCCUCCUCUCUGUUAAGAUACAAUCAUGUAUCAUGCUAAUAAAUAUAGGAUCCUUUAGUUGAACGACUUGAAUGAUAUGUCCCCUAGCGAAUUGCAUGAAUCUGUUUUGGUAAACGCAACUCGACCUCUGUGUGUGGUAGCCACCUCUUAGUGUAUCUGGGGUCAUAAGAUUGAUGUGAAUCUUUAUGUUUAAAUUACAAAGUUAUUAUAAGUGUUUUUGCUGAAUAUUUCCACAUCUUGGUUAUCAUUUCUUUGUGACAAAUAUAACCCGUCUCUUUGUCUAAAGGUCUUUAUAUACAUAUAUAUGUACAGUCAUUGUUCAAAAGAGUUCAGUGUCUUAAUUUAAAUGACGUAAGAUUAGUUGAUAAGUGGAUAAAUGGAGUCAUUAGUUUAAAAGCUUUCGUUCUUGUUAUCAGCUUGCUUAAGUUAGUUCAACGUUUGAGUUCCUGUGCUACAUGUGAUAUUUGCUUCUGUUUCUGAUUAUGUAGUUAGCAAUGCGAUCGCUUUGAGUUUAAAGAUUUCUGAGAAGAGCAUGAAUAAAUUUAUGUUUUCCCUUAGUAGUAAAAGGUGUAUUUUCUGAAUAUUAGCUUGUAGCUUGGUUAAUAGUAUGCUGCCAGUUGAAGUUGUUAUUUGAAAUGGUUUGAAUGAGGUUCUGUUAAGAUUUAAUCAAGUUCCCACUGUGCUUUAAUCUUGGUAAGGAGUUCCCUUUUGAUCAUGACUUAUAGCUAAUCCCUGUUUGAAGACAAUAAGGAAUUCACUGUCUUGUUCUAGCAUCUGUUGAACUUGGAUUUGUCCCCUUAAAAUCCCUUUCGAGUUUUGAUAUGAGUUUUAGAUGUUAAAUCUUGAAAAGUCACCGUUUGUAUGAGGUUCCGUGUCAUAACGUGAUUAAAUCUUGAGACAUGUUCAAAAAAAAUACUUUAAACUUGUCAGGUGCUUUGUUGAACACAAUAAAUCAAUAUUGAAAUCUGUUUCCCACAUCCUUAUCAUGCUAUAAGGAGCUUCAUGACUUCCUCUCAUUUUAGUUAGUUGCUAUCACUGUUAGCUUCACCAUCCACUAACCUACCUAAUUGCAUUUAAGUUUUAAAAAUCAUACGAAUAGUUUGGUUGCUAGUGUACUUCUUUUGGGUCUGAUUGUUGAUACUUAAGAUCAAGAAUAUGUUCCUCUUUGAGCUUAAAUAACUAAUUUUUUAAGAUUUUGGAACACUUAAACUUGCAUUAAAAGGGAAAUGGGGCUAUUAUAUUCGAGUUGCUGGUAUGAUUAAUGUGCUGACUUACGUAUUUUGGAGAAUAGGAUAUGUUUUAGAAAUCUUGUCUAGUGAACUAUAUCUUUUGUCUAAAAUUGGUUUUGAAUGUGCUCAUGUUAAAAAUUGAAUUGAUAUUUAAUUUCUUGAGAAGAUAUGUGAUUAUGCCUUGUUUCUUUGUUAGAUACCUUAGCCGCAUAUUAGAAUUUUAAGUGGCAGGAUUAACUAAUGCCUUAAUCAAAAACUCAGAAACUUUUUUUUUUCUCUGGUAAACUUCUUAUUUUUUUUAGCUACUGGUGAAAAGGGGGUUUGCACUAGUAAGAUUUUGGGAAUGAAUUUAAUAAAGUAAACUGUCUUACUUCUCUUUUCCAUCCAUUCAUGAGAUUUGAAAAUACGUUUGAAUCCAAUGACUGCUUUGCUUCUUCGAUAUGCCCAUAAAUGGUUAAUAAUGAACUUGUAAAGUGUGCUAAAAUUGUUGAAGUCUGUCACAGUUUUUUAAAUGGUUUGAUAAAGUAUAUUAUUUUCAUAAGAAAAAGGUCACUUUAACUUAGUCUUAUUGGUAUAGUCUCUCCUCGCCCCCUCCGUAUGUUAGCUCGCUUAAGUUGUAGCUUUAUUUUUAGGAGAGUUCUUUGUGUGUUGAGACGAAGUGGCUGCUUUCAUGUAAGUUUGCUAAAAAAAAAGUUACUAUUUUGACUAGACAAAAAAAAAAGUUACUCGUCUUGAUUAAAGGAAAAGUUAUUGAUUCAUGAAAAUAAAAUCCGUCGAACAUGUGAAUAACUUCGUCGCAGGGCUAACUUUUCUGUUUCCUCAAGUCGUUCGUAUGUUGCUUGUUUGACUUACUGUUAUAUGCAUGUUUCAUUAGACUUUGUGCGUUUGACUGUCAAAAUAUAUGAGUCUCUUCCUUCAAACCAGUGACAACAAGUAUUCGGAGAUGUGGUCACCGAAAAACUACAGUGGACUUUUGAAUUUGUGUUCGAGUUCUAUGGUGAAGUAUGUACUAUAAAGUACAUAUUUAGUUUAGGAUGGGUCUAUUAGGAGUAUUAAGCUUUUGUUGUUUUGAGGAUCUUAAGGCAGUUUCAGUUGUCCAUAAAAUAUAUGAAAGGAGAUUUUGUUUGUUUGUUUUACCCAAAAAAAAAAAAAAAAGGAAAAAAGAAAGAAAAUGAAGCAUGGAUAUAUGCAGGGAUUCAGUAGCUGUUUGUUUUGCUUGUUUAUUUUGGAAGUUGCUAUUUAUAUGAGCUUAGUAAAGUGUGUUGAAAACUAUUGUUGAGAUUUGUUAAUGUUCCUAAGGUUGUAAGAAUUUUGUUUGAUUAAGAAUUUUUUCCAGAAUAUGAUUAACUCUUUAACAACUUCCUUGAAGUUCAGGCUUUAAAUUCCUCGUUAGCAUUCUGGUUGUAUUUUUUUUUCCCUUGUGAACUACUAUAACUAGAUAAUUUUUGGUGUAUUACCAAACCAUACAAAGAUUUAUGAGCUGUCCAAACCAUACAAAGAUUUAUGAGUUCUUCUUACUUGAGCAUCUAAGUUUGUUUGCUGCAUAACAUUAGUGACAAGUAUAAUAUUGUAGCUCCAUGUUUCGAAUGUUAAAAGGAAGAUGUUUCUUUAGAUACCAUGUGAUAUUUAGCCUUCGUUAUUGACGAUCUAGAAUUCUCCCUAAUCCUUAUUAUUAUUUUUUUCUUUCCUUUUCAUGAAACACUCGGGGGCAUUUGGAGUUAUGGCAACUCCGGAUUCUAUCCGGAUCAGAGAAAAAACAGUAGCAGCCUCCUUUGCUUGUGUCUAGCGUCGUUCGUUCAUGUCAAGCGUCCCCGUUCUCCUCCCUUUGUUCAAACUUUAUGUCUUUGCGUUAGCAUACAUGUUUAUAUUUUUGACUAACACUUUGAUUGGAUUGUAUUUGUAGCAUAUUUGUUUCUUGCUUGUGAAUGAACCCGUGGAAAAAUGGCUGAGCAUAACAGCGAGUUUAGUCCUUA